AUGGCUAAGGCAGGCGCAGGCGAAUUGCAAGCUGAUGAGGAUGAAGGUGGAUUGAUGAUUGAAGGGGUGCCGUCUCAUGCUUGGACCAGGGACACGGCGGUGAAACUUCUGGGCAGUUCGUGUAUGAUCGAUAGCUUGGCGCCCGAAACAGAGAGCAGAGAGGAUCUGUCGCUAUUCAAACUCAAGGCCUGGUGUGUGGAUCCACAGGAGGUGCCAGUGUUUCGCCGUCUCUGGGUGCUGGAGCCGCCACCGGCGAGUGCGAACCCUGCGGAGCGACGGAAAACAUUCUGGCAAUUGCUUGAGUAUCCCACGUUCAUCCAUGUUGGCAGAGUGUGGGACUUCACACCACCGGAGCUUUGGGGAUGA
rnacentral:rRNA from 1 species